UACGAAGGGGGCUAGCGUUGUUCGGAAUUACUGGGCGUAAAGGGCGCGUAGGCUGUGCUGUAAGUCAGGCGUGAAAGGCCCGGGCUCAACCUGGGAACUGCGCUUGAUACUGCAGCGCUUGAAGACGGGAGAGGAUGGCGGAAUUCCCAGUGUAGAGGUGAAAUUCGUAGAUAUUGGGAAGAACACCGGUGGCGAAGGCGGCCAUCUGGCCCGUUAUUGACGCUGAGGCGCGAAAGCGUGGGGAGCAAACAGG
rnacentral:rRNA from 1 species